CACGGGGGGAGCAAGCGUUGUUCGGAAUCACUGGGCGUAAAGGGCGUGUAGGCGGUCAGGUAAGUGAGAUGUGAAAUGCCCCGGCCCACCCGGGGACCGGCAUCUCAUACUGCUUGGCUUGAGUACGGGAGAGGAUGUGGGAAUUCCUGGUGUAGCGGUGAAAUGCGUAGAUAUCAGGAGGAACACCGGUGGCGAAGGCGCACAUCUGGCCCGAUACUGACGCUGAGACGCGAAAGCGUGGGGAGCGAACCGG
rnacentral:rRNA from 1 species